GACGAACGCUGGCGGCGUGCUUAACACAUGCAAGUCAGGGGGCGGGGUAACCCGUCACCGGCGAACGGGUGCGGAACACGGGAGCGACCUGCCCUGGUGUGGGGGAUAGCCGGCCCAACGGCCGGGUAAUACCGCAUACGGCGCCCGCUUGGAAGCGGGAGGCGAAACUCGCGAGAGGCGCGAGGAGGGGCUCGCGGCCUGUCAGCCAGCUGGUGCGGUAGCGGCGCACCAAGGCGCUGACGGGUAGCUGGUCGGAGAGGAUGGCCAGCCACAUUGGGACUGAGAGACGGCCCAGACUCCUACGGGAGGCAGCAGUGGGGAAUAUUGCGCGAUGGGCGACAGCCUGGCGCAGCGCCGCCGCGUGGAGGCUGGGGCCCUUCGGGGUGUCAACUCCUGUGGCCCGGGACGAAUGCCCCGCCUCGGCGGGGUUGACGGUACCGGGUGAGGAAGCACCGGCUAACUCUGUG
rnacentral:rRNA from 1 species